rnacentral:rRNA from 1 species
GUCUACGGCCACGCCACCCUGAACAAGCCCGAUCCUGUCUGAUCUCGGAAGCUAAGCAGGGUCGGGCCUUGGUUAGUACUUGGAUGGGAGACCACCUAGGAAGACCAGGGGCUGUAGGCA